GAUUAAGAACGUAGCGAAAUGCGAUAAGUAAUGUGAAUUGCAGAAUUCAGUGAAUCAUCGAAUCUUUGAACGCACAUUGCGCCCGCCAGUAUUCUGGCGGGCAUGCCUGUUCGAGCGUCAUUACAACCCUCAGGCCCCCGGGCCUGGCGUUGGGGAUCGGCGGAGCCCCCCGUGGGCACACGCCGUCCCCCAAAUGCAGUGGCGGUCCCGCCGCAGCUUCCAUCGCGUAGUAGCUAACACCUCGCGACUGGAGAGCGGCGCGGCCACGCCGUAAAACACCCAACUCUUCUGAAGUUGACCUCGAAUCAGGUAGGAAUACCCGCUGAACUUAAGCAUAUCAAUAAGCGGAGGA
rnacentral:misc_RNA from 1 species